rnacentral:lncRNA from 1 species
GACUUUGGGGGCGGGUUUUGGCGGGAAAAUCUGUAAUGUUUGGAGAAGACAAGAUGGCGCUGGUUACCUCGUGUCAUAUCAAAGGGCAUUUUUGUUCACAAAUACCCAUUUAUUUUACGUUGUAGCGACUGGUUAGUUUUGGAAAUUAUAACUCAAUGGACGGGGAAAACGAUUCUGUAUUAAAGAGAAAAAGAUGUGCAGUUAUUGUGAUGUUAUUUGUUGUGAAAGACGGCCCGAAAUUUCGCUACAUCGCAGUACUGGUUUAUAAAACAUUUACAAGCAACAACAAUUGAACUAUAUGACAAAGAAACAAGCCAAUCAAGUUCUUCAGUUUAAAGGUCAGUUUACUUUUUAAUAAUUAGUUCAUUUAGUUGUAUAUUAAUACGAAUUACGAAAUAUUGGAUACUAGUAAAAACUUUUUACGAAGUGGCUAAUCGCCUAAUCGUACUGGAACAGUACGCCGAGUGUGAUUUGCUAUUCGUACUGCAAUCGUAAUAUUUAAGAUAAACCCUUCUCUAACCCUAACCAAUAAAGCCCUAAUAAACUAUUUGAAAGUUUUUUAUUUCGAGAAAAAAAAUUUUAAAAUAUUUUAAGAAAAAUUUCUAAGCCAAACAGACAACCGACGGCUAAAACUAAACCCAGACCCGACCUCGUUUCACUUCGCACGCACGCAACGCCUUUGCUGAAAUAUCCACUACCAGCCUGAAUUGCUGAAAGCUAUUGCAAAAAACUAUUUUAGGGCACAUAAAAAAAUAGUUGGUUAGCGUCCUUAGCUUUUGCCAAAAAGUGGGCGGGCGGACGCUCUUUUUUUUUUUCAACGCCUUGGUUUUAGGUCCGAAACUGGAUUUUCAUGUGCAGUACAGAUAUUUUUUAUAUAUUUCAAAAUAUGAUUCAUACCGUCAUUUUUUCACACAAUUUCGCCACUUAUUAACACAAUUGACUACAGUCGACAGAAAUACUACAUAUAUUAGAGCCUGUUGAUCAGUAAAAGUUGGGGUUUUUUUAAAUAAAAAAAUCCUGAGCGGGGCCUUUUUUGUGGGCGGGCGAGGACGCUAACCAACUAUUUUUUUUUAUGUGGCCUUAUAUUACUACUUUACAAAAUGUAAGAAUCGGGUAGCCUGCUCACAGACAUUGUUAUUCUUACGCCAAGUGACGAAUUACUACCGUCUGCUUACCCAAGCGCCAAACUGAAUUCCAUUACGUCGACCAAUCAGAAUUUACCUUCCAAAUUCUGGAAAGUGACUUCAGUUGAUUUAGGAGUGGAAUAAAUAUAAAUGUAUAGGUUGAAUUUUGCUCAAAAUUGCACAUAAAUUGAAUUUAAAGAUACUUGUCCAGGUAAUAAAAUGCACCAUUAAUUAAUGAUCAUAUUUGGAUAUUAAAGAUGUUCGGUUAUAUUUAAAACGUGGACAAGAUUGGCAUAUUUAAUAUAAUGUAUGAAGCCAAACAGGCGAGACAGCAUCAAAAGCCGAAUAUAUUUCGCUGAAAUUUGAACUUUUGACGGAUGUUUAUCUUUAUAAGACAACAGAACUCGGAAGACAGAAAAUUUGAUAUAAUACUGUGGCAAAAUAUUAGCUUCAAAGUAAACUAAUUGUGCCGUGAUGAAUUUUCCAAUUCGCCCAAACUUUGAAAUGUUUAUACUCUAACUUGGCUAUACUUUUCUACAUGACAAUGAGAGCUUAAUCUUUUAGAAGUUUUCGUCAAAGUCAUGGCAUAUAGGAAGUAUCAAGAGCAACAUUUGGACAUAUCCUGAUAUACUCGAGUUUCCCGAUUGAUUGUUUGUCAUUGACAUUGUUAACAAAAAUUUAAAUUUUGCCUACUGCAUUGCUCUAGCACUUUAUAUACACCAAUUGUUUGCUCAACAUGCGAGAAGAUGAUCACAAUAUUAUUCUAUGUAAACAUCGUAAAGUUCAACGCUAUAGUUUCCAAAAUAUAUCCACACACAAGUAACAAAUUUCAAGUUUCAAUGCAAACAAUAUAUUCCAAUGCAUGUGCAAGGGCUUUCCCCAGUAGCUAAUCUCUCAAUAAGGUGGCUUCCAAUUGGCUCUAACUCUUUUGAACACUGCCAGAUGAUUGGCUCCUAAAACAAAGGGAAUUGAAUAUGCAGCUCGGGUAAGCAGACGGUAGUAAUUCGUCGUUUGGCAUAAGAAUAACAACGUCUGUGAGCAGGCUAAGAAUCGGGUGCCAUACUUCAGUACGAUUAUUGGGUCAUACUAAUUACCGACAAUUACUAAUAACAAGCACGCAAUUACCGGCAACAAGUAGGGGUGCACCUGAUUUGGAAUUUUCAUAUCUGGCUGGAACCGAUUUUGGGCAAAAAUUCCGGCCGGAUUUGAGAUAAACCAGUAAUGGUCCCAAUUGGGUAUAAAUUGUGAUAAUUCAGUAUUAUGUUUUUUACUAUUUUUAGUUAGUGUCAGUUUAGAUUUUUGAUUGUGUUUAAACCUUUUUUAAAUAUAUUUUUGUUAAUAACUUAAUAUUUUAUAAUAAUAUAAGUGUUUUUUAAACUUUAAAGCUGCCAAAUUGAUGGCUUACCCCAUUCUUGAAUAUUUUGAGGUGAAAACAGAAAUUUAAAUCCGGCCGGAUUUUGUCCAAAUCCGGCUGGAUGGCCGGAAAAUUUGUUAAAUCCGGUGCACCCCUAACAACAAGCACACAAUUACCGACAACAAGCUGAAAAAUACGGACAACAAGCAAAUACAUACUUUCAUUGUAUUCUUAUAGUUAUUUGGUUGUUUUUGAGGAAACCCAAAAUAUAUAAGUUUGACAGAUUUUGUCAAACAUUGUUGAGUUAAAACAUUCUGCUAUUAAAGAUGAUGGAUUCACGUAGGCAGACACCAUAUAAAAGUAUAGAUAGGAAACGAAAUUUCAAGUAGAAAAUCAGUAUUAACUAACCUAUUAUCUAUAAUAAUAUAACUACCAACUUCUAUAAAGUGUGUAUGCGUAUAAUGUGUCUAAAAUGUUUAAUAGUAACAAACAGAAACAAGCUAUAAAUUAUUUACAUCAAUUCAUACAGCCAUGCAUUCAUACAAAUAACUAUAAGAAUACAAUGAAAGUAUGUAUUUGCUUGUUGUCGGUAUUUUUCAGCUUGUUGUCGGUAAUUCAAAUUGUGAGCUUGUUGUAGCAGUAAUUAUGUGCUUGUUGUCAGUAAUUUGCUGCUUGUUGUCGGUUGUUGAUGGUAGUUGUUAGUAUGACCACGAUUAUUAGUUCAAUCGAAAAAUCAUUUAUAUUUUCACAUUUGGAAUUUUUUACGAUUGAUCACGAAGAUCAGCGGAUAUUUCUAUACGCUUUCUAGAUAUACUAUUGAAUUUUCCAAACUUUCCAGUCAGGCAAAGUUCCACCCCACACCAUGGAAUUUCAUUUCAGCACCCUAUAUCAUUCUAGAAUACCUUUAUUAAUCAUUUCAGCAACUUCGGCUAGCUUGCGUUGUUUUUGCUAAAUACUGCUCACAGGCUGUUGUCCAAGGGGGGCACCCUCAGUCAUUAACCCCCUUGCCACAUUGCAACAUUAACAAAACAAUCAACCCCACUGCCUCAAAACUCUCUGCCCCUGUCAUACAGCAACCUCCUAGCCAUCUUUAACAACAGAUGUCGAAGAUGUCUACACAAUGCGAUGUUUGCUUAUGAUUGUUGUAUGCAACUUGCUGACCCCAUCCCUGCGACUUUGUGUCGUCUUUCUAUACAGUACGAUUAUUGUAUGUGUCAUUUCCAACCGAGAGAUAUAUUAGACCCUCUUUCUACUUUUUUUUACUUUGCCUUGUUCACAUUUUGAACAGGAAGCGUACCAAUUUCGCUUUCUCUCGUUGAUGUCCGCCAUUUUGAACUAUUUUUUCAUAUCUACACGGCACGAUUUGCGUCGCAGGGAUGGUGUCAGCAAGUUGCAUACAACAAUUGUAAGCAAAAAUCGCAUUGUGUAGAUGGUCCUUAAAAGGCAUUGAACCAGACUAGUUUGAUAUACCAACAACUUUUUCCGCUUCCGAUACCAAAUUUCCCAAUUUUGAAACACCCCUUGGAGAAUAUAAUUCCCUCGAUACAAUGCAGGUGGUUUUAGCUCCAUUUUUUUAAGCAUUUUAUAAAGUGUAUGCUAUGUACAUGCUAUGAAGCUAGUUUUGUUGGCAUGCUUUUUUUGAAAAUUUCAGCGGCCAUGUCGGCAGGUACAAAACGCAGGUUGCAGGUUGGAUUUUUUAAGCAUUUUAUAAAGUGUAUGCUAUGUACAUGCUAUGAAGCUAGUUUUGUUGGCAUGCUUUUUUUGAAAAUUUCAGCGGCCAUGUCGGCAGGUACAAAACGCAGUAUUGCAGGUUGGAAUUUUGCAGGUUGGAAUUUUGCAGGUUGGAAUUUUGCAGGUUGGAAUUUUGCAGGUUGGCGAAUUUUGCAGGUUGGAAUUUUGCAGGUUGGGGAUUUUGCAGGUUGGAAUUUUGCAGGUUGAUAAUGCGAGCUUAAAAUUACACCACUUUUUAGUAUUCUAGUAUAAUUUAGUUGUGCAUUUAUUGCAGUCUGACUCCUUGUCGGCGCCUCUGCUCUAAGGCUAGUGGCCAUCACCCCUGUGAAAACAUUCAAAAUGACCAGAUUGGCUUGGACCUACAGGGAGACGAAUGCAGGGGUGUAGGAACCGGGGGGCCAGGGGGGCCUGCCCGCCCCCCAAGUUUUACCAAGUGCCCUUUUUCCGGGAGCAAAGUGCCCUUUUUUGUGUUAAAAAUGUUUUAAGGAUUGCUUAUUUUUGCCCAAAGCGCACUUUUCGAAACUUGAAUUUAUGUUAUUUUCUGGAAUAUUUUUUUCAUUUUGGGAAAAAAUAUGAUGUCCGAAAAAAAAUUUUGUGUUUCCGGAAAUUUUUUUUCAUAUUUAGGAAAAUUGGAUAUAUCUGGAAAUAUUUUUUUGGUAUGUCCGGAAAAAAAUGUUGAGACCUCCCCCCUUCCCACCCCCGUCGCCAACAUUUCCGGGAAAAAAUUUUUAGAUGCCCUUUUUUAUUCGGAAAGUGCCCCUCAAAGCCUGCCCCCCCCCCAACUUUUAGAAGCUUCCUACGCCCCUGGACAAAUGUUUUGAUUGUUGCGAGGUGCCUACAUGAUGUGGCGGCGUUUAUACUAGAAUGUUGUUAAAAGUUAACUAACUCUCGAGUAAUGAUACGGUAAUUGGGGGCUUGAGUGGUCUCAUAAGUGGGUGCAGAGGAGAGACACCUCAUUCAGGCAUUUUCUGAACUGCCACCACGUCAUGUAGGCUCCUCGCAACAAUCGAAACAUUCGUCCCCCUGAAGACCCGAGCCAAUCUGGUCAUUUUGAAUGUUUUCACAAGGGUGAUGAGCAGAGGCUAGAAACAUGGUAGCAGGAUAGGCUGAUAUCAAAAGCGGCGACAAGGAGUCAGACUGCAAUAAGUACAAAAUAAAAUUAUACUAGAAUACUUUAUAGUAGUGUAAUUUUCAGUUUGCAUCAUCAACCUGCAAAAUUCCUGUCAACCUGCAAAAUUCCAACCUGCAAAAUCCCCAACCUGCAAAAUCCCCAACCUGCAAAAUUCCAACCUGCAAAAUCCUACUUUAUAGUAGUGUAAUUUUCAGUUUGCAUCAUCAACCUGCAAAAUUCCUGUCAACCUGCAAAAUUCCAACCUGCAAAAUCCCCAACCUGCAAAAUCCCAACCUGCAACCUGCAACCUGCGUUUUGUACCUGCCGGCGGCCAUGUUGUUCAAGCCAAAACAAGCUAGGUUAAACCCAUCAUGGAUUGUAAAAUAACAUUUAUUUUAUUAUCCAUGGUUAUAUGAACAGGCUUUUUCCAGGAUUUUCUCUUGGGUCCGUUUUUGCAGAGAAGAUUGAGUUUAGCUGAACAGUUGGGGUGGCUGCACCCCCCCCCCCCCCCCCCCCCCCCAAUAAAUGUAAUUGAGACUGAAUGUGUUAAAGCAAGGACACUAUAAACUUAAAGAUGGCUUGUCAGGCUUCCAACUGAAAACUAAUUCCGACACGUCACAAAUUUUAUAACUCAAACAACUUCAUUUUUACUGCACUGAAACUUUGGUGAGAAGAUUGAGUUUCAAAACUCAAUUCAGGAUUGAGUUAAAAAAUAUCCCUGAAAAAAACCCUGAUGAAGUAAGGUUUGAAUGUAAAAAAUGACUUUCUAUUCAGUUCUGUAUACAGUUCAGUGGCGCAGACAACUUCAGAUUAUCGCCCGAAGACCUGGGAACGAACUUGCCGAAGAGCAUGCAUAAGCAUAAAUUAUGAAAUAAAUUAAUGAGGUUGAUUUAAGGUGGCUCCCUACAGUUAGUACAGUUUAAAUACGAUUUAUAUAGAUCAGACUUCAUCCUUGCGACCUGCACGUGGAAUCGUCGUGUUUACUGUUCGGCAAAAAUAUUGAAACAAGCUGCGGGAAGUUUUUUGGCGUUUUUAUCUACAAAGAAAGCUCCAGUUUUUCAUUAUAAUGUUUUCUUCGGUGAAAUUUUUUUAAACUUUGUAUUUUUGUUAUACAAGACGAGUAGUACAACAUAUCCAAAUUUUAAGAAAUUCUACAAAUAAUUUUUUCUGUAACCGUCAUUCACGAAUAUCUCGAAAACUUAUUUGUAAAUUCCCUUCAAAUUUUGAUAUGUUUUUCCUUUCUGGGCCAUAAAUUUUCAAAAAAAAUUCAGAAAACUUCACCAAAGGAAAAUAUAGAUAUUGUCAAUUUAUUGUGAAAUUAGACAAUAAAAGUGCAAAAGAUUAAACAUCAUGGUUGCCAUGGCAACACGAACACUGUUCUAAUUUGUUCAUAAAUGGACAGCACACAGCUUCUGAACUUUCCUUGAAAUGAUCAUAUUGCCUUGUCUUAAGUGUAUCUAAUAUAAAUUCGGUUCAAAGCGAACGUUACUCAAAAUACCUAGAAUUUUAGAGAACUGUAGCGAAGCUAAAAGUAGCGAAAAGCGAAGUAGCUAAAAGUAGCGAAGCUAAAUAAAAGAGAUUAAAAUUGGAUUUAGUGCGUAUAUUUGAAAAAAAUUACCACCAAGUAUGGUCUCCCCCCCCCCCCCGUUCACAACACUUGUGACGUCAGUUACAUACGGGACUUCGGGGCGGGUUUUGGCGGGAAAAUCUGUAAUGUUUGGAGAAGACCAGUGGAGAAGACAAGAUGGCGCCGGUUACCUCGUGUCAUAUCAAAGGGCAUUUUUGUUCACAAAUACCCGCUUAUUUUACGUUAUAGCGACUGGUUAGUUUUGGAAAUUGUAACUCAAUGGACGGGGAAAACGAUUCUGUAUUAAAGAGAAAAAGAUGUGCAGCUAUUGUGAUGUUAUUUGUUGUGAAAGACGGCCCGAAAUUUCGCUACAUCGCAGUACUGGUUUAUAAAACAUUUACAAGCAACAGCAAUUGAACUAUAUGACAAAGAAACCAAUAUAUACAAGCCAAUCAAUUUCUUCUGUUUAAAGGUCA